rnacentral:rRNA from 1 species
GACGAACGCUGGCGGCGUGCUUAACACAUGCCAGUCGAACGGAAAAGCCCUGCUUGCAGGGUACUCGAGUGGCGAACGGGUGAGUAACACGUGGGUGAUCUGCCCUGCACUUCGGGAUAAGCCUGGGAAACUGGGUCUAAUACCGGAUAGGAGCCAUUUUUAGUGUGAUGGUUGGAAAGUUUUUUCGGUGUAGGAUGAGCUCGCGGCCUAUCAGCUUGUUGGUGGGGUAAUGGCCUACCAAGGCGGCGACGGGUAGCCGGCCUGAGAGGGUGGACGGCCACAUUGGGACUGAGAUACGGCCCAGACUCCUACGGGAGGCAGCAGUGGGGAAUAUUGCACAAUGGGCGCAAGCCUGAUGCAGCGACGCCGCGUGGGGGAUGACGGCCUUCGGGUUGUAAACUCCUUUCGCUAGGGACGAAGCUUUUUGUGACGGUACCUAGAUAAGAAGCACCGGCUAACUACGUG